UAUGUGAACCUUACCGUCGUUGCCUCGGCGUGAGCUACGGCUACCCUGUAGUUACCCUGGAGCUACCCUAUAGCUACCCUAUAGCUACCCUGUAGUUACCCUAUAGCUACCCUAUAGUUACCCUGCAGCUACCCUAUAGGUACCCUGGAGCUACCCUGUAGACGGCUUAUGGCCCGCCGAAGGACCGCUAAACUCUUGUUUUUAUUGCUGUUAUUCUGAAUUAUAAACUAAAAUAAGUUAAAACUUUCAACAACGGAUCUCUUGGUUCUGGCAUCGAUGAAGAACGCAGCGAAAUGCGAUAAGUAAUGUGAAUUGCAGAAUUCAGUGAAUCAUCGAAUCUUUGAACGCACAUUGCGCCCAUUAGUAUUCUAGUGGGCAUGCCUAUUCGAGCGUCAUUUCGACCCCUAAGCCCCUGUUGCUUAGUGUUGGGAAUCUACGGCGUAGUUCCUUAAAGUUAGUGGCGGAGUUAGGGUACACUCUCAGCGUAGUAAUAUCUCUCGCUCGUGUGGUGGCCCUGGCUGCUAGCCGUUAAAACCCCUAUAUUUUUUAGUGGUUGACCUCGAAUUAAGUAAGAAUACCUGCUGAACUAAAGCAUAUCAAUAAGCCGAAAGGAAGGA
rnacentral:rRNA from 1 species